rnacentral:rRNA from 1 species
ACUGAAUGGGCUAGGGCAUACACCAAUGUACCAAACCCUAUCAAACUCCGAAUACUUAUAGCGUAACCACGGCAGUCAGGCGGCGAGUGAUAAAAUCCGUCGUCAAGAGGGAAACAACCCGGACUAACAGCUAAGGUCCCCAAAUCUCAUUUAAGUGGAAAACGAUGUGAAGUUACUGAAACAACCAGGAGGUUGGCUUAGAAGCAGCCAUCCUUUAAAGAUAGCGUAAUAGCUCACUGGUCUAGUGAUUUUGCGCGGAAAAUAUAACGGGGCUAAAAUGAGUACCGAAGCUUUAGACUUGCACUUAAUCAUUUAUACUAGCUCGUCUUUUGGCGAUAAAUUAAUGAGUUUGAUUUUUUCUCAAUCGAUAGGCUAAAAUCCUUAUCUCAAAUCGAAAAAAUCUUCACAACAUUAAUUUCUCAUCCAAAAUACUUCGCUUUCUAUAUUCAAAUUUUAAAGAUUUCGAACUUUGUUAAUUUUAAAAUUUUUUAGAAUUUUAAAAUCCCAACUUAGAUAUUUAAAAUUUAACAACCAAGAGGCGAAGAAAGACAAACAAAACUUUAAGAUAUCGGAUAAAUUCUUAAAUAUCUUAAGUUUUAAAUUUGAACAAAGCCGCAAGAAAAGUAUAAAUCAUUAAGUGCAAGUGGUAGGAGAGCGUUCCAAUCAGCGUCGAAGCCGUACCGGUAAGGAGCGGUGGAGCGGUUGGAAGUGAGCAUGCAGGCAUGAGUAGCGAUAAAAUACGUGAGAAUCGUAUUCGCCGUAAACCCAAGGUUUCCUACGCGAUGCUCGUCAUCGUAGGGUUAGUCGGGUCCUAAGCAAAGUCCGAAAGGGGUAUGCGAUGGAAAAUCGGUUAAUAUUCCGAUACCGAUAUCAGUGUGCGACGGAAGGACGCUUAAAGUUAGUGGAGCUAGCGGAUGGAAGUGCUAGUCUAAGGAAGUAGGUUGAGUUAUAGGCAAAUCCGUAACUCUUUAUCCGAGAUCUGAAAGGCUUCUGACGCUCUUCGGAGUAGAUGAAGAAUCCAUGAUACUAUCGAGCCGAGAAAAGUUUCUAAGUUUAGCUGAUAUCGCCCGUACCGUAAACCGACACAGGUGGGUGGGAUGAGUAUUCUAAGGCGCGUGGAAGAACUCUCUUUAAGGAACUCUGCAAAAUAGCACCGUAUCUUCGGUAUAAGGUGUGCCUAGCUUCGUUAAGAAUUUACUUCGUAAGCGAAGAAGGUUACAACAAAGAGUCCCUCCCGACUGUUUACCAUAAACACAGCACUCUGCUAACUCGUAAGAGGAUGUAUAGGGUGUGACGCCUGCCCGGUGCUCGAAGGUUAAUUGAUGAUGUUAGCUUAUGCAAAGCAUCUGAUCGAAGCCCGAGUAAACGGCGGCCGUAACUAUAACGGUCCUAAGGUAGCGAAAUUCCUUGUCGGUUAAAUACCGACCUGCAUGAAUGGCGUAACGAGAUGGGAGCUGUCUCAAAGAGGGAUCCAGUGAAAUUGUAGUGGAGGUGAAAAUUCCUCCUACCCGCGGCAAGACGGAAAGACCCCGUGGACCUUUACUAUAGCUUGACACUGCUACUUGGAUAAAGAUGCGCAGGAUAGGUGGGAGGCUUCGAUUCGUAGAUCUCGGUUUACGAUGAGCCAUUGUUGAGAUACCACUCUUCUUUAUUCGGGUAGCUAACUAGCCUAAGUUAUCCUUAGGUAGGACAAUGUCUGGUGGGUAGUUUGACUGGGGCGGUCGCCUCCCAAAAUGUAA